GGCUGUAUGUAGGCAUCUCUCAUUCAGAAUGGACAUUGACAUGAUGAGCAGAGAAGAAAGCUUUCAGCAAUGUGUCAUUUGUCACAAUUGUCAGGCUUUUUAAAAAAGGACUCCCAAAGAGAGAUGCUGCAUGUUUUCUGUGUUAACACAGACUGAUUUCCUCUCCAGACUCUUUAAGUUUGCAGAAGCUUAAAUAUAGAGCCCUGUUUAAAAAAAAAAAGGAAGAGAGAAUUUGUGUGUUAAUCGGCCUUGUGAAGAAGUGCUUCAUCACCCUUCUGCACCUCCCUGUGCUCUGGUGUGUGGCGUGGCCACGGCUCUCUAGGUUAGGGCUCUGAGCUGGCUGCAGCAUGCUCAUGUGUUAGCUGAGUAGAGUUCACCGGCAGUCGCAGGCUGAUACAGGGUUUUUUGUUUUUUGUUUUUUGUUUUUCUAUUCCUUUGAGUAUCAAAAUGCCAUCCAAAGAGUCCUGGUCGGGGAGG
rnacentral:lncRNA from 1 species